rnacentral:rRNA from 1 species
GACGAACGCUGGCGGCGUGCCUAAUACAUGCAAGUAGAACGCUGAAGAGAGGAGCUUGCUCUUCUUGGAUGAGUUGCGAACGGGUGAGUAACGCGUAGGUAACCUGCCUUGUAGCGGGGGAUAACUAUUGGAAACGAUAGCUAAUACCGCAUAACAAUGGAUGACCCAUUUCAUUUAUUUGAAAGGGGCAAAUGCUCCACUACAAGAUGGACCUGCGUUGUAUUAGCUAGUAGGUGAGGUAACGGCUCACCUAGGCGACGAUACAUAGCCGACCUGAGAGGGUGAUCGGCCACCCUGGGACUGAGACAAGGCCCAGGCUCCUACGGGAGGGAGCAGUAGGGAAUCUUCGGCAAUCGGGGCAACCCUGAGCGAGCAACGCCGCGUGAGUGCAGAAGGUUUUCGGAUCGUAAAGCUCUGUUGUAAGUCAAGAACGAGUGUGAGAGUGGAAAGUUCACACUGUGACGGUAGCUUACCAGAAAGGGACGGCUAACUACGUG